rnacentral:rRNA from 1 species
CCUACGGGGGGCAGCAGUGGGGAAUAUUGCGCAAUGGGCGAACGCCUGACGCAGCGACGCCGCGUGAGGGAUGAAGGUCUUCGGAUCGUAAACCUCUGUCAGCAGGGAAGAACGGUCACUGUGCUAAUCAGCAGUGAAUUGACGGUACCUGCAAAGGAAGCACCGGCUAACUCCGUGCCAGCAGCCGCGGUAAUACGGAGGGUGCGAGCGUUAAUCGGAAUUACUGGGCGUAAAGCGGUCGUAGGAGGUAUGUCAAGUCAAGGGUGAAAGCCCCGCGCUCAACGUGGGAACUGCCUUUGAAACUGGCAAACUGGAGUGUGUGAGAGGAUAGUGGAAUUCCAGGUGUAGGAGUGAAAUCCGUAGAUAUCUGGAGGAACAUCAGUGGCGAAGGCGACUAUCUGGCACAUAACUGACGCUGAGGAGCGAAAGCGUGGGUAGCAAACAGGAUUAGAUACCCGAGUAGUC